rnacentral:rRNA from 1 species
UACGUAGGGUCCGAGCGUUGUCCGGAAUUACUGGGCGUAAAGAGCUCGUAGGUGGUUUGUCGCGUUGUCCGUGAAAACUCACAGCUCAACUGUGGGCGUGCGGGCGAUACGGGCAGACUGGAGUACUGCAGGGGAGACUGGAAUUCCUGGUGUAGCGGUGGAAUGCGCAGAUAUCAGGAGGAACACCGGUGGCGAAGGCGGGUCUCUGGGCAGUAACUGACGCUGAGGUGCGAAAGCGUGGGGAGCAAACAGG